rnacentral:misc_RNA from 1 species
UACAGAAAUCGCAAACUUUAC